rnacentral:tmRNA from 1 species
GGGGGCGACCGGUUUCGACAUUUUAGAAAGAAAUUUUAAGUUGCAUGUAGAGCUUAGUAACUCUUAAAACUUCUAAACCGUAUUAAGUGCCGAUUAUGGCCAAAUGGCUGUAGCUUAAUUGCUAUAACCCAUCAUCAGUAGGCGUUGCUCAUCGCUAUCUGAAUGAUGUCAUAAAAAUGAGAUAGCUUAUUUUUUUGCUUCAACUAAAUAAGUGAACCCUUAGAAGAUAGUCUUAUAUUCGUCUGUUCUUGAACCUUUAUAAGGC